rnacentral:rRNA from 1 species
GAGUUUGAUCCUGGCUCAGGAUGAACGCUAGCGGCAGGCUUAACACAGCAAGUCGAGGGGUAAUCCCGUUUAUCGGGAACGACCGGCGCACGGGUGCGUAACGCGUAUGCAACCUACCUUCUACAUUGGGAUAGCCCUAAGAAAUUGGGAUUAAUACCAAAUAACAUUAAGAUACCUCAUGGUAUUUUACUUAAAACUCCGGUGGUAGAAGAUGGGCAUGCGUGACAUUAGAUAGUUGGUAAGGUAACGGCUUACCAAGUCUACGAUGUCUAGGGGUUCUGAGAGGAAGGUCCCCCACACUGGUACUGAGACACGGACCAGACUCCUACGGGAGGCAGCAGUGAGGAAUAUUGGGCAAUGGAGGCAACUCUGACCCAGCCAUGCCGCGUGCAGGAAGACAGUUCUAUGAAUUGU